AUGGCCGACAGAUGGGAACCGUCCAGACAGACCUCAUCACAGAGAAGCAAGAAAAUAAGACCAAAGAAGAAACCAUACAGACCUGAAGAAUGUGGAGAAAGCAAUCUGCCAGGAAUGUCAAUAAAGGAAGGACUCUAAUAUUUGUGCAGCUUUACAAUUUCUAAUUUCCUUUAGCUAGGAGAAUUAAAAGAUAAAUAUUCCCUCUCUAUGUGCUUCUUUAUGUAUGUAUAUGUAAAUAUUUUUUUUGUAAAUUACAUAAACAUGCACAUUAUUAAAGAAAAUAAAAAAUAUGGAGGCCAGAGUUUAGAUAUACCAUAAUAUCAACUCUAUACCCUAACCAAAACUUAGGUUAUUCUGACUUCCUAGAAACUCCUUUCACUACAAACUAAAGAAAAGACAUAAACUUUAUUAUAUUUUUCCCAAUCAAAUCUUCUUUUAUUUUUAUUAUUUAAAAAAAUUAUUGGUUCUUUUUAGUUGUACAUAAAACAUAAUCCAUAUUGUUAUAAUUAUAAUUAUAAAAGCAUGGAAUGUGUAUUAGUCUAGUUAGGAUUCUAUUCUUGUAGAUGUACAUGAUGGUGGAUUCACUGUGUUGUUUUCAUACAUGUACAUGGGAAAAUUAUUUCAGAUUUAUUCUACCAUCUUUCCUUAUCAAUUAUUCAGUGAAAUUGAACUAGAUAUAGAGAAAUCAUUUUAAACUGCUCUUUUACCUUAAAAAUAAUGUUAAUGUAUAAUAGCCAAUCAUGACAAUAAGUUAAAAUACUACCCUUUUUAUGCUUUGUAAACUGUGCUUAUUAUUGUUCAAAUUAUUAAAAGGAUAAAACAAUCAAUUUAAGUUCAUAUUAUAUAAUUGCUAUACAGUGAAAUUUUUACCACCUGGUUUGAGGUCUGCCAGUUUGUGAACUGUUAUUUUAUAUGAACAAUAAACUUGUACGAAUUUUAAAUUUG
rnacentral:lncRNA from 1 species